rnacentral:rRNA from 2 species
GGGUUGUGAGGUUAAGCGACUAAGCGUACACGGUGGAUGCCCUGGCAGUCAGAGGCGAUGAAGGGCGUGCUAAUCUGCGAUAAGCGUCGGUAAGGUGAUAUGAACCGCUAUACCCGACGAUACCCGAAUGGGGAAACCCAGUGCAAUUCGUUGCACUAUCAUUAACUGAAUCCAUAGGUUAAUGAGGCGAACCGGGGGAACUGAAACAUCUCAGUACCCCGAGGAAAAGAAAUCAACCGAGAUUCCCCCAGUAGCGGCGAGCGAACGGGGAAGAGCCCAGAACCUGAAUCAUCGGUUGCGUUAAUGGAAGCGUCUGGAAAGUCGCGCGAAACAGGGUGAUAGCCCCGUACAUGAAAACGCAGCCGGUGUGAGUUCGAUGAGUAGGGCGGGACACGUGUUAUCCUGUCUGAAGAUGGGGGGACCAUCCUCCAAGGCUAAAUACUCCUGGCUGACCGAUAGUGAACCAGUACCGUGAGGGAAAGGCGAAAAGAACCCCGGCGAGGGGAGUGAAAGAGAACCUGAAACCGUGUACGUACAAGCAGUGGGAGCCUUGAUUUAUCAGGGUGACUGCGUACCUUUUGUAUAAUGGGUCAGCGACUUAUAUUUUGUAGCAAGGUUAACCGAAUAGGGGAGCCGCAGGGAAACCGAGUCUUAACUGGGCGUCAUAGUUGCAAGGUAUAGACCCGAAACCCGGUGAUCUAGCCAUGGGCAGGUUGAAGGUUGGGUAACACUAACUGGAGGACCGAACCGACUAAUGUUGAAAAAUUAGCGGAUGACCUGUGGCUGGGGGUGAAAGGCCAAUCAAACCGGGAGAUAGCUGGUUCUCCCCGAAAGCUAUUUAGGUAGCGCCUCGUGAACUCAUCUUCGGGGGUAGAGCACUGUUUCGGCUAGGGGGUCAUCCCGACUUACCAACCCGAUGCAAACUGCGAAUACCG